UUAUAAAUAUAAAUUUUUAGUGAUUAGUGAAGAAUCGUAAUAUAUGAUUUGGAUAUUAUUGAUUAUUGAUUUCGUGAUUGAAUAUAGUGUUUUUAGGGAUGAAAUGUGAUCAUGUUUUGAUUUCAAAAACGACAUAGAUUCCUUAUUUUUGUUGAACGGUUUAGAUUGAAGGAAAUUAAUUUUAUUGAACGGUUUAGAUUGAAUCGAAUCAUAUAAAAUUUAGGAGAUUGUUAAGACCAAAUUACCCUUAAUGAUUUUGAAUAGCAUAAUACAAAAUCCAAAAUUGAAAUCAAAACUGAUGCCAAAUUAGAUAAAAUUUUAAUUUGUACUUCCCUUUUAAUAAUAAAGGGAUGUUAAAGCGAUUUAGUUCUUAAUGAAAAUACUAAUGAGAGUGUAAUUAAGAAAACAUG
rnacentral:sRNA from 1 species